rnacentral:rRNA from 1 species
GCUGGCAGCUAGCUUUCUGUGACUCUCACAUGUUCCCACCUGAAGCUAAGUAGAGCUGCGCCCGCUCAGUACCUGGAUGGGAGACCACAGGGCAAAGCUAGGUUGCUGCCGGAA